UAGUCUCAACCAUCAAAUUGAAAAGAAAAAAACAAACAAACAAGCUCAAAGAUGAAGAAUACUACUGCAUCACCUAUACUAGUUCUCUUUGCCAUCCUCAUCACCACAUUUAUACUUAGUUCGUCGGAAAUAUAUGGACUGGAAGCCAUGGAAGUGCAAUCAAGUAUUACUAGAGCAUCAAUUACUAAAGGAUGCGGUAAUACGUCGUGUCGAAAAGAUGCGGACUGCAUUAAUGCGCAUUGUCGUGAAAGGCGAAAGAACCAAGUCGUGUGUGAGCAUUGACAACACUCGUUAGAAGAGUUGAUGAUACCUUGUCUGUACUACUACAAAUUAAAAAAAGCCUUUAAUUAACUUUUCUUCAAAAAUAAUUAUUGUAUUAUGAACCAAAGAGUGUUGGCAAUGAACUCUCUCAAACAAUUAAGGCCCCAUUAUGUUUAUA